CUGGAACCCAGAAUAUUUAACGGCUUACAUGAAGAUUUAGGGCUUUGGUGAGUUCCUUCAGCUGGGACGCUGCUUAAAGACCAAAGAGAGAGGGGAUUCUUGCAUUAAAGUUUCAUCAAAUAAAGUGACUUAAAAAGCUCCACAA